CACUGCUCUGCAGGCCUUCCCCAGAUGCUCACGCAGUCCCUGGGGGCUCUUCUGCAGAGAAUAAUGUCAAACAAAUUUUCUGAUUGCCGGGCAUUGUUUCUGUUGGAAGAUGAUGGAUUCCUCUGAGUGCCUGAUAUCUAUAGAGUGGACUGAAAAUCUUGGAGAGGAUUAGCAAACCGGGGAGUUAGUUAACACCAUUUAACCUUGCGACAACACCUCACAUCUGG
rnacentral:lncRNA from 1 species